GCCGAGAUGGCGGAAUUGGUAGACGCACCAGACUCAAAAUCUGGCGCCGCAAGGCGUGCCGGUUCGAUUCCGGCUCUCGGCACCA
rnacentral:tRNA from 3 species